GUGCCUUCGGGAGCUCUGAGACAGGUGCUGCAUGGCUGUCGUCAGCUCGUGUUGUGAAAUGUUGGGUUAAGUCCCGCAACGAGCGCAACCCUUAUCCUUGUUUGCCAGCGAGUCAUGUCGGGAACUCCAGGGAGACUGCCGGUGAUAAACCGGAGGAAGGUGGGGACGACGUCAAGUCAUCAUGGCCCUUACGAGUAGGGCUACACACGUGCUACAAUGGCGCAUACAGAGGGCAGCGAGC
rnacentral:rRNA from 1 species